rnacentral:rRNA from 1 species
UGUGUUGUUGGGUAGGGGAGCGUUCUGUAAGCCUGUGAAGGUGUGUCGUGAGGCAUGCUGGAGGUAUCAGAAGUGCGAAUGCUGACAUAAGUAACGAUAAAGCGGGUGAAAAGCCCGCUCGCCGGAAGACCAAGGGUUCCUGUCCAACGUUAAUCGGGGCAGGGUGAGUCGACCCCUAAGGCGAGGCCGAAAGGCGUAGUCGAUGGGAAACAGGUUAAUAUUCCUGUACUUGGUGUUACUGCGAAGGGGGGACGGAGAAGGCUAUGUUGGCCGGGCGACGGUUGUCCCGGUUUAAGCGUGUAGGCUGGUUUUCCAGGCAAAUCCGGAAAAUCAAGGCUGAGGCGUGAUGACGAGGCACUACGGUGCUGAAGCAACAAAUGCCCUGCUUCCAGGAAAAGCCUCUAAGCAUCAGGUAACAUCAAAUCGUACCCCAAACCGACACAGGUGGUCAGGUAGAGAAUACCAAGGCGCUUGAGAGAACUCGGGUGAAGGAACUAGGCAAAAUGGUGCCGUAACUUCGGGAGAAGGCACGCUGACACGUAGGUGAAGUGAUUUACUCACGGAGCUGAAGUCAGUCGAAGAUACCAGCUGGCUGCAACUGUUUAUUAAAAACACAGCACUGUGCAAACACGAAAGUGGACGUAUACGGUGUGACGCCUGCCCGGUGCCGGAAGGUUAAUUGAUGGGGUCAGCGCAAGCGAAGCUCCUGAUCGAAGCCCCGGUAAACGGCGGCCGUAACUAUAACGGUCCUAAGGUAGCGAAAUUCCUUGUCGGGUAAGUUCCGACCUGCACGAAUGGCGUAAUGAUGGCCAGGCUGUCUCCACCCGAGACUCAGUGAAAUUGAACUCGCUGUGAAGAUGCAGUGUACCCGCGGCAAGACGGAAAGACCCCGUGAACCUUUACUAUAGCUUGACACUGAACAUUGAGCCUUGAUGUGUAGGAUAGGUGGGAGGCUUUGAAGUGUGGACGCCAGUCUGCAUGGAGCCGACCUUGAAAUACCACCCUUUAAUGUUUGAUGUUCUAACGUGGACCCGUAAUCCGGGUUGCGGACAGUGUCUGGUGGGUAGUUUGACUGGGGCGGUCUCCUCCUAAAGAGUAACGGAGGAGCACGAAGGUUGGCUAAUCCUGGUCGGACAUCAGGAGGUUAGUGCAAUGGCAUAAGCCAGCUUGACUGCGAGCGUGACGGCGCGAGCAGGUGCGAAAGCAGGUCAUAGUGAUCCGGUGGUUCUGAAUGGAAGGGCCAUCGCUCAACGGAUAAAAGGUACUCCGGGGAUAACAGGCUGAUACCGCCCAAGAGUUCAUAUCGACGGCGGUGUUUGGCACCUCGAUGUCGGCUCAUCACAUCCUGGGGCUGAAGUAGGUCCCAAGGGUAUGGCUGUUCGCCAUUUAAAGUGGUACGCGAGCUGGGUUUAGAACGUCGUGAGACAGUUCGGUCCCUAUCUGCCGUGGGCGCUGGAGAACUGAGGGGGGCUGCUCCUAGUACGAGAGGACCGGAGUGGACGCAUCACUGGUGUUCGGGUUGUCAUGCCAAUGGCACUGCCCGGUAGCUAAAUGCGGAAGAGAUAAGUGCUGAAAGCAUCUAAGCACGAAACUUGCCCCGAGAUGAGUUCUCCCUGAGACUUA